GUUUUGACUAUUAUGCAAUUUCUCUUUUAUUUCUUUCAGAAAAUGGAAGAUUUCUCCUUAAAAGACAAGGAGAGAGAAAUAUGCCAAAAAUGAGAAUAGGGAGUAGAGGCUAAAACCAAAAUUAGUAUUCAGAAAUUUCAAAUGAUGCUGAAAUUCCCAGAGGGAAGUAUUUAUUUAUAUAAGUAUAUUCGGUUAAUUAUUUAUAGAAAUAAAACUCAGGAAAAUUCCACUCUCACUGUUUUUAUCUGCGUACACUGUCCCUAGAGGGCUUGUAUGUGGGUUUCCAUUCUCAGAAUCAGAAAGUCCCUGUUUGUUCUUGUCCUUGUUAUCAUUUUAUUUUAAAAUAAAAUUUGUGAGAGUAGUGAUCACACUAAUUUUUCUCUGUGUUUAGAAGGCCCGCUAUUUUAAAGACUGAUUAUUCAUAUUUUUAAAAAUCACAUUUUUUUCAUAUAUAUAUGAAAGACAUAAAUUUGGAAUGCUUUAAUAAAGUUCAAAAGUCAGGAUAUGUGCUCAUUAGGCUGACAUCAUCAGCUGAAAUGACGCCAUUCACAUCCAAGACUUAAUGCACUUGCUGUCGAUGUUUGAUGUAUGCCAGGCACAACCUUAUUCUCCACAAAAAGCCAAGGAAAGACCCAAGUAAUAACAAACUCAGAGAAUGGGAAGCAAGAAAAGGAGAGCAUGAAGUACACAGAUGAUAACAAAUAAUCCAGAAUUAUCAAGUCAAGAUCAAGGCCAAAACCAGCAAGGUCCAUAGACUCCCUAUCACUGGAUGAUCAAAGCAGGUGUUCUACUAGAGAGAAGAUAAAAAUGUGGUCUGUUGUGUUUUAUAUGCAUUUUGAUUCUGCUUUUUUGAAUGAGCAGCUUAUUCUAGAGAGUCUAUUUCUGUAUUGUUUCACUCACCACUGCAGGAUUGUGUGCAGCAUUCGGCAGGGACAGAGGACACUAAUAUCAAUGCCAAGGAAGUCACUGCAGGAACAAUGAUCUGAGGAGACCCAACAGUUUUAAGGCAAGUCUUUGAAGGGCCCCUCUGUGUGGAAGCCUCAGAUCUGAUUUGACUGGUUUGCUGCAACCCUGAUGAGUUGAGAUUCUUUGAAGUGAGAGGUCUGCAACUUAACUCUUCCUGAUAACUUUUUCCUCUGACCAACUUUCUUAUCUUAUUGUGGCAAUGAAGAUAAAUCCAGUUUAGUUUGUUUUGAGGAGCAAUAACAGCACUCCCUACUUCAUCUCCUCUACACACAAAUUUACACAGCCUUUCUAAAGAUGCAUACCUGGGCAACUCGAGAUAAAACUUUCCCCUUUCAUCUAAUCCUUUGUGCUUGUAUAAUAAAUAAAUCUUGUAGGAAAAAACUGAAAGCUUCAAAUGUUGAUAAGCCAGUAACAUUCCUCUUUUAGCCACCUCUGAAUUUUAAUAAAUUUAAUUUUAAUAAACUAGCAGACUAUCUUUGCUAGCAACACUUUGUAUUUCCAUAUUUAAAGAGCAUCAUAAUGGAAAUUGAUUUAUUAAAAACAAUUCCAAGCAUACAGCAUCUGAUGCUAUUUAUCAUAACAAU
rnacentral:lncRNA from 1 species